rnacentral:rRNA from 1 species
UACGUAGGGGGCAAGCGUUGUCCGGAAUUAUUGGGCGUAAAGCGCGCGCAGGCGGUUCUUUAAGUCUGGUGUUUAAGUGCGGGGCUCAACCCCGUGACGCACUGGAAACUGGGGAACUUGAGUGCAGAAGAGGAGAGCGGAAUUCCACGUGUAACGGUGAAAUGCGUAGAGAAUGUGGAGGAACACCAGUGGCGAAGGCGGCUCUC